UGACAGAAUUCUAAUUUGUGGAUGACCUAACCCUUUAAGGAGAAAUAAAGCAUAAAAUUUAUUGAGCACAUUUUUAUGAGUAUUUGCUACAUCACACAAAGAGGCAAUGAAUGUGUGCAGUUGUUAUUUUAUCUUUGUUUUCCUGGAAAGAAAACAAGUACCGAUCAUAUCUACUCAUCAGAUGACGAAGCAGCAGAACAACCACCCAUUAAAAAAAAGAAAAGCUGCAAACAAAGCAAGUGUUCCAGCUGCACCAAAACCUCCAGCAAUUCCAAAACGCAACAAAAAAGGUCCUGUUGUGCAACCUCAGGUUUCGCAGAGCAGAGCUGUAAACCCUCUAAGCAACUCAUUUGUCAAUCAGCAACAAAGGGACAUGGAAGACCAACAGCAGAACUGGUGUGAGAGUCUCCCCAGCUUUCAAG